GCUUCAGCCACCACUGCUCCUUGGGAAUCCUGUGUCUGGAGGGGGAAACAGGGAGGUGAAAUACAUGGGGUGUAAGAGUCUUACAUACGGACAGACAAUCAAAGACAGUAACAAGAGACUGCACCAAACGUUUCUGCACCUUUCCGUAAUCCUGGCGUGGACAUUUUCACCUGAUCACAUACACUCACUUCCACGUAACAGGCUCAUGAUUUUUAGGGUUUUUAUAGUAAAGGCCCUAGUGUGACACACUACCUCUAGUAAGAAAGAAUCUGGAAUAAAAGACAAACCUGAUGAGAAAACAGACUGAAAACAGGAUGAAGUAUUAGAUUACAGAGCAAAUAUAUUUACACAGAAAGAAGUUUUGGACUUGAACUGCUUUUUGGAGCAACAGCUUUUCUAAAAAUCUCAAGUUAAAGGAAUAAUCAAGGAAUAAGACUUGGAGUGUCAUUCCAAAUAGCCAAGCAGCCUACCUGGCUGGGAAUGCUCAGUACCACUGAUGCCAUCUACUACUACUU